CACCUUGCUCACAUGAUCCACCAGUUAAGCUAAGAUCAAGCACAAAAUGAGGCUUGCCUCCCAUCCUUGAGGUGGUUUUUCGUAAGACCGUCGUAGUUUCAUUUCUCUUCCAACAAAACAACUCGCGUUUCAUUCAUUCACACACUCACUCACACUCACACUCGCAGUAGAGAAAGAACCCUAAAAUUCCAUCGCCGCGAUGAACAUGCAUUGACGACGACGAAGACCUUGACCUCGAGGACGUCGAACUCGACCCGAGCAACGAACUUUGAAGAAGGUGGUUCACUCUUCUUCAGAUCUAAUCGAAGAAAGAAAUGGACGAAGCGCUGGAAAUGUCAUGUGCGAAGGACACGAAGGAGAGGAUGGCGAGUGUAGAGCGCCUUCACUAACUUCUAGAAGCUUUCAGAAAGAGCCUAUCCUCUUCCGAAACAUCCAGAUGACCUUUAUCCUCUAUUGAACCUGAAAAUGACGGUGAGGAACACCGAGAAGCUGAGAAAUGUUAGAACCUUGUUUUUGAUUUUUUUUCCUCUUCGAUUUUGAUUUUUUUUCUAUUGUAGUUUUUGUUGUAUUGCUUUCUCUAUUUUUGAAAUGAGAUUGGAGAUCUGACUUUGUGGUUUUUGAAUUUUAUUUUUUGGAUUGUGUUUUUCCAAGUUGCUACAUUGAGCUUGCAAAUGGAGGUUUGGUUCCUGUUAGUGGAGCUCUUAAGGCAUGCGCAGUGCAGAGUGUACAAGUUAAGGGUCAAAUACUUAAAACUUUGCUUCUUUCCCUCCCCGUCGAAGAGGUCUUAAGGGAUUUCAAGGGUCGCAUAGCUACUUUGAUUAAAGCCCUCAUCACCGGUUCUUACUACUACUCCUUUCUUUCUUAUCCUUUUUUCCAUUUCAAAUUUUAUUUUUUCUUUUUUUCUUUACUUUGACGUUAGAGAUCUUGUUUUUUCAUCUUGUUCGUUCAUCUCACUUCUAAUUAAGGAACAAGCUUUCCGCAGUUGAACACCCUAGCUAGCUAGCUUCCACCAAUUUGAAUCACCAAUGGCUCACUCUUUCUCUAACAUCAAGGUUCUCUCUGCUUUUGUCGCCGAUGGAUUCUCCAACACUCUCACCUGCUACAAGGGUUAAUACAUCACUUUCUUUUGUCUUGGAGCUUUUACAAAGAAUUGCUCGAGUUAUUAAGGAUUACCUUGGGAUUCUCAAUGAAGACUCAUUACGGAAAACUUUGUGCUUGUGUACGAAUUACAUGAUGAAGUUAUUAUUACUUUUAGUGUUCCUUUUGCUCUAGCAUCAAUAUACUGCAACACUUGAGGAACAGGACAAGGUUUAUCUUUGGGAGUUCUCAAUCUUGCAAUUGUGAUACCACAGAUGGUGGGGUUUGCAUUAAGUGGUACUUGGGAAGAGAAUUCAAGAAAAUGGUGACAUUUAAUUUAAUGGGAGCAUUUAAUGGAGGGAAUAGUAGUAGACGAUUUCUGUAGUGUUCAACUGUUGGAGAGGGAAAAGUUAUGCAUGAGACACAAAACAUAUCUAUAACACAGGUAUGUCAAGAAAUCUCAAAUAUGAAAUCAACUCUUGAAGAUCUUAAAGAGGUUGUGAAUAACUUAGUAAAAGUUGUUAUAAAUAACAUUCCAUCUUCGAGCCCGUCUCAAACCCCAACUACUAAAGAUGCAUAAAACAUAAUGAUUUCAACUACUCCACGAUUCGAAACUACAAUUAAGCCGAACAAGCUUUUCCAUAAAAUUGCUAUUGGGAAAUAUGAAGGAAAGACAUUUGGAAUUGUGAUAUCGGAGACCCUCAGAGGAUUUGAUACUUAUUGAGUGGAAGCUGCAGUUGCUUCAUACAUAUUUCAAAACAAGCCUCGAAAUUCACUUAGAGAGGAGGUUUUGAUGAAGUACUCAUCCUAGGGUCAUGGAGAAAGGAAAAAGGUUGUUGACUUUUAUGCCUCAAGAAGAGGUUGACCAAAGAAACUUAUCAUGCUAGAUUUACCAAGUGAGACAAGAAAUGAAUUUUGGAGGAGAAAGGCUAAAAAAGUUAUGAUGCAAUCCUACCCUUCAAGGGUAUUGGAUAAAAGACUCCAAGAAGAUUGAGUCAGAGAUGCACGAGGAGGCCCUAAGGUAGAUUUUGAGCUCAUGGGCUAAGUAUGAGCCCACUUAUCUUUGUACAUAUUAUAUUAGAAUUUCAUUAUUUUUUGACCUUGUAUUUAGGGCUCCAUAGUGUAGGGAGAGUA